UCUACCGUAAACGAUGACACCAGCGAUUAAUCGGCGUUAAUAUACGACCCGAUUAGCAACUUCCGGGAAACCAAAGUUUUUCGUUUCCGGGGGAAGUAUGGUUGCAAAGCUGAAACUUAAAGGAAUUGACGGAAGGGCACCACCAGGAGUGGAGCCUGCGGCUUAAUUUGACUCAACACGGGAAAACUCACCCGGCCCGGACACCGUAAGGAUUGACAGACUGAGAGCUCUUUCUUAAUUCGGUGGGUGGUGGUGCAUGGCCGUUCUUAGUUGGUGGAGCGAUUUGUCUGGUUAAUUCCGAUAACGAACGAGACUCUGGCCUAUUAAAUAGUCGGUAUAUCCAGAAAAGUUUACCGUACUUCUUAGAGGGACAAACGGCGUCUAGCCGCGUGAAAUAGAGCAAUAACAGGUCUGUGAUGCCCUUAGAUGUCCGGGGCUGCACGCGCGCUACACUGAAAGAAUCAGUAUGCGCUUUAACCUAGUCCGGAAGGAUUGGGUAACCCGAGCAAAUUCUUUCGUGCUUGGGAUAGGGAAUUGCAAUUAUUUCCCUUAAACGAGGAAUUCCCAGUAAAUGCGGGUCAUAAGCUCGCGUUGAUUACGUCCCUGCCCUUUGUACACA
rnacentral:rRNA from 1 species